rnacentral:rRNA from 1 species
GCCUACGGCCAUGCCACCCUGAACAAGCCUGAUCCCAUCUGAUCUCAGAAGCUAGGCAGGGUUGGGCAUGGUUAGUACUUGGAUGGGAGACCACCUACGAAGACCAGAUACUGUAGGCG